GGGGGUGAAAGGUUUUCGACUUCGGUAGCCAAAGUUUGAGAAGCGAGCCGUGGGUUCCGGAACCACGUUAAACAGCCGGAACACAAAACAAAUGCCGAGCAUCAGCUCGCACUCGCUGCUUAGCAAUCGCUAAGUAGCGGCGUCCUCCCGGUCUAAGCCCCACGGGCCGGAAUCGGGCGUCAUCUGUUGGGGCUUGCCCGACCAGCACGCCAACCGGCCGGCGGGGACACAAAGGAUGGCUGGGGAACACCGGUUGCGUCGGCGACGCCGGUGUUCCCGAGACUUAUACGCCGACUGCGCUCGGAGAAUGCAAGCUGCGGAGCUGAGGGACGCGGGUUCGAUUCCCGCCACCUCCACCU
rnacentral:tmRNA from 1 species